GACGUAGGGUGCGAGCGUUGUCCGGAUUUAUUGGGCGUAAAGAGCUCGUAGGCGGCUCGUCGCGUCGACCGUGAAAACCCGCGGCUUAACUGCGGGCUUGCGGUUGAUACGGGCGGGCUAGAGUUCGGUAGGGGAGACUGGAAUUCCUGGUGUAGCGGUGAAAUGCGCAGAUAUCAGGAGGAACACCGAUGGCGAAGGCAGGUCUCUGGGCAUUAACUGACGCUGAGGAGCGAAAGCAUGGGGAGCGAACAGG
rnacentral:rRNA from 1 species